GAUGAACGCUGGCGGCGUGCCUAACACAUGCAAGUCGUACGAGCUCGAUCUUCGGAACGGGUUAGUGGCGCACGGGUGAGUAACACGUAGGUGACCUACCCCAGAGUGGGGGAUAACUUCUCGAAAGAGAGGCUAAUACCGCAUACACUCGGUCAUUCAUUUGGCCGAGCAAAGCUCCGGCGCUUUGGGACGGGCCUGCGUCCGAUUAGCUAGUUGGUAGGGUAAUGGCUUACCAAGGCUUUGAUCGGUAGCUGGUCUGAGAGGACGAUCAGCCACACUGGCACUGACACACGGGCCAGACUCCUACGGGAGGCAGCAGUGAGGAAUAUUGGGCAAUGGGCGAAAGCCUGACCCAGCAACGCCGCGUGAGGGAUGAAGGCCUUCGGGUUGUAAACCUCUUUUCUGGGUAGAAGAGACAAGGACGGUAAGUCCCAGGAAUAAGUACUCGGCUAACUACGUGCCAGCAG
rnacentral:rRNA from 1 species